rnacentral:rRNA from 1 species
AGCAGUUGUGGUAAUUCCAGCUCCAAUAGCGUAUAAUAAAGUUGUUGCAGUUAAAAAGCUCGUAUUUGAAUUUCGGGAUUGACGUGAUGGUCAUGCCUUAAGAGGCAUGAACUGUUACAGUUGAUUUCUCUCACCUUCUGGAGAAACUUGAUGUUCCUUUAUUGGAUAUCUUGCGAAUCCAGGACCUUUACCUUGAAAAAAUUAGAGUGUUUAAAGCAGAGAUUUUUUUGUUCGAAUACAUUAGCACGGAAUAAUGGAAUAGGACGGCAUGGUUCUAUUUUGUUGGUUUCUAGGACCACCGUAAUGAUUAAUAGGGAUAGUUGGGGGCAUUAGUAUUCAAUUGUCAGAGGUGAAAUUCUUGGAUUUAUUGAAGACUAACUACUGCGAAAGCAUUUGCCAAGGAUGUUUUCAUUAAUCAAGAACGAAAGUUAGGGGAUCGAAGACGAUCAGAUACCGUCGUAGUCUUAACCAUAAACUAUGCCGACUAGGAAUCAGACGAUGUUAAUUUUUUAAUGACUCGUUUGGCACCUUACG